UACGAGGGGGGCAAGCGUUGUUCGGAAUUAUUGGGCGUAAAGGGUGCGUAGGUGGUUCGGCAAGUCUUGUGUGAAAUCUUCAGGCUCAACUUGAAGUCUGCACAAGAAACUGCCGGGCUUGAGUAUGGGAGAGGUGGGUGGAAUUUCCGGUGUAGCAGUGAAAUGCGUAGAUAUCGGAAGGAACACCUGUGGCGAAAGCGGCUCACUGGACCAUUACUGACACUGAGGUACGAAAGCUAGGGGAGCAAACAGG
rnacentral:rRNA from 1 species